AGAGGUUGGCGCGGGCGGACGCCUCGCCAACCCGGUCAGGUCCGGAAGGAAGCAGCCGUAACGAGUCCGGUUCGGGUCGCUGUCCAACCUCUCAC
rnacentral:SRP_RNA from 1 species